GACGGAAGGUGCAAGCGUUGCUCGGAAUCACUGGGCGUAAAGAGCUCGUAGGCGGUUUGUCGCGUCUGCCGUGAAAGUCCGGGGCUCAACUCCGGAUCUGCGGUGGGUACGGGCAGACUAGAGUGAUGUAGGGGAGACUGGAAUUCCUGGUGUAGCGGUGAAAUGCGCAGAUAUCAGGAGGAACACCGAUGGCGAAGGCAGGUCUCUGGGCAUUAACUGACGCUGAGGAGCGAAAGCAUGGGGAGCGAACAGG
rnacentral:rRNA from 1 species